UCGAACGAUGAACCCGCUUGCGGGGGAUUAGUGGCGAACGGGUGAGUAACACGUGAGUAACCUGCCCUUAACUCUGGGAUAAGCCUUGGAAACGGGGUCUAAUACUGGAUAUUGACUUUACCUCGCAUGGGGUUUUGUUGAAAGAUUUAUUGGUUUUGGAUGGACUCGCGGCCUAUCAGCUUGUUGGUGAGGUAAUGGCUCACCAAGGCGACGACGGGUAGCCGGCCUGAGAGGGUGACCGGCCACACUGGGACUGAGACACGGCCCAGACUCCUACGGGAGGCAGCAGUGGGGAAUAUUGCACAAUGGGCGAAAGCCUGAUGCAGCGACGCCGCGUGAGGGAUGACGGCCUUCGGGUUGUAAACCUCUUUCAGUAGGGAACAAGGCCAGCAUUUUUGUUGGUUGAGGGUACUUGCAGAAGAAGCGCCGGCUAACUACGUGCCAGCAGCCGCGGUAAUACGUAGGGCGCAAGCGUUAUCCGGAAUUAUUGGGCGUAAAGAGCUCGUAGGCGGUUUGUCGCGUCUGCCGUGAAAGUCCGGGGCUCAACUCCGGAUCUGCGGUGGGUACGGGCAGACUAGAGUGAUGUAGGGGAGACUGGAAUUCCUGGUGUAGCGGUGAAAUGCGCAGAUAUCAGGAGGAACACCGAUGGCGAAGGCAGGUCUCUGGGCAUUAACUGACGCUGAGGAGCGAAAGCAUGGGGAGCGAACAGGAUUAGAUACCCUGGUAGUCCAUGCCGUAAACGUUGG
rnacentral:rRNA from 1 species